rnacentral:ncRNA from 1 species
CAGAAGGAUGGUGGCCAUGGAAGUUGGAAUUCACUAAGGAGUGUUUAACAACUCACCUGCCAA